AUUGACUUUUAGCUCACGUUGUCAACAAAUAAUAAUGGGUUAAACUUAACUUAAUUUCACUGAGUGUUACAGAAAAAUUUUAAUCAAAAAAGUAAAUUUGAUCAACUGGUAUAUGAAACAAUAAACAUUCUGCGAAACUCGUAGAAGACUCGUAGAAGACUCGUAACUCCAGUCGUUUUUACGUCAUCGUUUGUUGUUUUGUCAGUUUAUUAACUGUAACUUUGUAUUUAAAAAUGAUUGCUGUAUGGAAAGUAAUACCGAUUUAUUUAA